rnacentral:rRNA from 1 species
AACGCGAAGAACCUUACCAACCCUUGACAUACUUGUCGCGGAUUCCAGAGAUGGAUUCCUUCAGUUCGGCUGGACAAUGUACAGGUGCUGCAUGGCUGUCGUCAGCUCGUGUCGUGAGAUGUUCGGUUAAGUCCGGCAACGAGCGCAACCCACGUCCUUAGUUACCAGCAUUUAGUUGGGUACCCUAAGGAGACUGCCGGUGAUAAGCUGGAGGAAGGUGGGGAUGACGUCAAGUCCUCAUGGCCCUUACGUGUUGGGCUACACACGUGCUACAAUGGCAUCUACAACAGGAAGCAAAACGGCAACGUUAAGCAAAUCCCGAAAAGAUGCCUCAGUUCGGAUUGCACUCUGCAACUCGAGUGCAUGAAGCUGGAAUUACUAGUAAUCGUGGAUCAGCGUGCCACGGUGAAUGCGUUCCCGGGUCUUGUACACACCGAAU